AUUGAACGCUGGCGGCAUGCUUUACACAUGCAAGUCGAACGGUAACAGGCCUUCUGGUGCUGACGAGUGGCGAACGGGUGAGUAAUGCAUCGGAACGUACCCAGAGGUGGGGGAUAACGCAGCGAAAGCUGUGCUAAUACCGCAUGUGAUCUGAGGAUGAAAGCGGGGGACCGAGCAGCAAUGUUUGGCCUCGCGCCUUUGGAGCGGCCGAUGUCGGAUUAGCUAGUUGGUGGGGUAAAGGCCUACCAAGGCGACGAUCCGUAGCUGGUCUGAGAGGACGACCAGCCACACUGGGACUGAGACACGGCCCAGACUCCUACGGGAGGCAGCAGUGGGGAAUUUUGGACAAUGGGCGCAAGCCUGAUCCAGCAAUGCCGCGUGCGGGAAGAAGGCCUUCGGGUUGUAAACCGCUUUUGGCAGGAACGAAACGGUGUCCGCUAAUACCGGGCGAUAAUGACGGUACCUGCAGAAUAAGCACCGGCUAACUACGUG
rnacentral:rRNA from 1 species